rnacentral:lncRNA from 1 species
AUUCCAGGGAUAAGGAAUUCAGAAACACGAGGACAGACCACAGAAGUAAAAGAAUCACCUUCGGAAAAGUCCACAGCUUCAUCAGACUGCCAAAGGCACCCAUGGCACAGAAGAGUUAAGAAGUUACAGAGUGCAAGGCCAGUCCCCAGGAUCACCUCACUUUUGAUGCCAGUUUGGAAGGAAUGGGCCAAAGGAAGAAGCACAUGGAACAGAAAGUUCCAAAAGCAAAGAUUCCAGUUAUCCUCUCCCAGUAAAGUCAUGGGUGACACCAACUUUUCCUGGCCAGGAUGUGUGACCGUACACGUGGAAUAUUGCCACCAAAGGAGCCUCACUCAAGCCUUUGUGUACAUAGUUUUUAUUGGGGCUCAGACAGAUGUAGAGGGGAGAGCCAGGACACAGCUCGGCUUGCUCAUGCCCAGAGAGAGUAAGAGUUCAGCUGCUGAACCUGAAGACAAGGGAGAGCUGGCCACGCAGGUGUGUGUGGGAGCUGGCUGCUGA